rnacentral:miRNA from 1 species
AGCGAUGGCCGAAUCUGCUUCC